GCUGUCUCAGAUUUGAUUGGGCUUGGCACGAAGAGCAAAUAUUUUCUCUCCUCGUAUUUUUCCUCUUCUAUAACUAUGUCACAUUCUGUCUUCACAGUCAUAACCCUCGUCUUUGCACAGUGUGUUCCCUGGGAUUAUGUGAUAGAUGUUUGUGAUGAUGACAUGCAGUUGUACUGAGCUUGUCCUCUUGUAUUUUAGGAGCUAUGCCUGUCCCAGACCAGCCUCCAUCAGCCUCCGAGAAGACCAGCUCUCUGAGCCCCGGCUUAAACACUUCCAACGGGGAUGGCUCUGAAACGGAAACCACCUCAGCCAUCCUUGCUUCAGUCAAAGAACAGGAAUUACAGUUUGAAAGGCUGACCCGAGAGCUGGAGGCCGAACGCCAGAUCGUAGCCAGCCAGCUGGAGCGAUGCAAGCUUGGAUCGGAGGCAGGCAGCAUGAACAGCAUCAGGUACAGUGCUGCACUCUCCAUUCUCUGGACUUCAGUCGCCCAAACAGUGAAUUGUGGAAUUUGUCUCCUCCUUCCAAACCCAGCUGGGGAAAUGGAAUGUUCAGCCAGAUGUUGGAAAGAAGUCAUAACUGGCCCAAUUUAAGAUGUUCAAAAGGUCCACAAUAGCCUGAUUUGUACUUGAAGCUCUUUUAACAAAAUUAAUGCCUGCCCUGGAUGCAGAUUAUGCAUAAUCUCACACAAAGGGAAACUUUGCUUUUAGUCAAUUUUCUGGAAGUUAGGAGAUGCCAAAUCACAUGCUCCCAGCUUGGUUAUUUUUGUUUUUUUUAAUUCCUAAAUAAUCCACAGUUACAGGUUUCUGAAUAAAAAAAGUGAGAAAGACAAAAUACAUUGCUUGUAAUGUCUAAUGAUAAGCUAUAAAUUGCCUCUCAAAUAUCAACCACAUGAGCAGUUCUCCAUAUGUGAGAAUACUCUGUCAUCCAGAUGAAAGUGAUUGUUGAGACUGUGAAGUAUUAAAGAGAAAAACAACUCUUUGGUCACUUGGCCACA
ensembl:lincRNA